GAUGAACGCUGGCGGUCUGCUUAACACAUGCAAGUCGAACGAACUCUUCGGAGUGAGUGGCGGACGGGUGAGUAACGCGUGAGAAUCUGGCUGUGGGUCGGGGACAACAGAAGGAAACUUCUGCUAAUCCGGGAUGAGCCUUUUGGUAAAAGGGAAAUUGCCUGGAGAUGAGCUCGCGUCUGAUUAGCUAGUUGGUGAGGUAAAAAGCUUACCAAGGCGACGAUCAGUAGCUGGUCUGAGAGGAUGAGCAGCCACACUGGGACUGAGACACGGCCCAGACUCCUACGGGAGGCAGCAGUGGGAAUUUUCCGCAAUGGGCGAAAGCCUGACGGAGCAAGACCGCGUGGGGG
rnacentral:rRNA from 1 species